AGAAUCAACGCUGGCGGCGUGCCUAACACAUGCAAGUCGAACGAGAAAGUGGAGCAAUCCACGAGUAAAGUGGCGCACGGGUGAGUAACACGUGACUAACCUACCUUCGAGUGGGGGAUAACCUCGGGAAACCGAGGCUAAUACCGCAUAACAUCGCAAGAUCAAAGCAGCAAUGCGCUGGAAGAGGGGGGUCGCGGCUGAUUAGCUAGUUGGCGGGGUAACGGCCCACCAAGGCGAAGAUCGGUAGCCGGCCUGAGAGGGCGCACGGCCACACUGGAACUGAAACACGGUCCAGACUCCUACGGGAGGCAGCAGUGGGGAAUUUUGCGCAAUGGGGGAAACCCUGACGCAGCAACGCCGCGUGGAGGAUGAAGCCCCUUGGGGCGUAAACUCCUUUCGACCAAGACGAUAAUGACGGUACUGGUGGAAGAAGCACCGGCUAACUCUGUGCCAGCAGCCGC
rnacentral:rRNA from 1 species